UCACCUCCUCAGGCCGCCCUGCUAGUUGGCGUUGAGGACAGGCUGCGCACCUCCCCGCUCUGUGGGCAGGUGUGCUCAGCCUUGCCAGGUUGUUACACAGUUUCCAAGACAUUGCAACAUUGUUGCUAUCAAGUAACAGUGAGAUAAAGAGGACUGCCCUGCAAGCUACCACAGCCAGAGGCUGGGUUCCUUCUAAAUGGUGGGGGAGUGAGAAGCCUGUGGGCCAUGGAGCUCUGGGAAGCUUCCAGAACAUCAGGCUUGAGGUGGGUCUCCAUCAGUAUUGAGUGGGUGGGGAAGAGCCAUGGGGAAUGGCACAGACAAGGUACGGGGUGGUGUGGGAGGCACAGGUGUGUUUGAGGGCUGAGGGUCUGUUCACGUGGUAGAGACGUGGGGGAUGCGGCUGGAAAGUGAGGGGCCAGGAACUUAGUCUGGCAGGAGGCAGUUUUCGGUAAGCAGAGGGGAGGGAGACAGUGAAGGUUGUGGAAGGAUAGUGGAAACAAACAGAGCAGGCGCCUUCCACACUCCAGUCAGGAAGUGCAGACUGGGGGCUCCAGGGAUGCCCCCAUCCAACCCCUCAGCCUCAGAGGAGGACGGAGCUGCAAAGGAGGAAUACCUCUCCAGGUCCCACAGCCAGGGAAGUGCUGUGGUCCCCACACUCCCUUCAGCUGCCCGCCAGGGACCACUAGCCCUACGUGGGUUUUUCAAUUUAAAUUAAUUAAAAUGAAAUGAAAAUGUCUGCUUCUCAGCCGCCCUGGCCACAUUCAUGUGUUCCACUGCCACGUGUGCCAGUGACUACUGUCGGGAUGUGCCAGGUCUAGGACAUUCCCACCGCUGCGGAAAACUGCGCUGCUUCUCCUGUGGCUGCUUCUGCCACGUGGCCUUGAAGGAAACCCACGCUCCAGGGAGGCUGGGCAUUGCCUGCCCCUGGACCCCAGUCGGAGUCCCCCCUGGUGGCUGCCUGGGCCUCAGCCACGGCCCCUGAGCAGCUUCCAGCAUCCCGAAGGCUCUGCCCCAGGUCCGAGGCCAUUCCACGGUCGCUCCCUGCUUCCUCUCCUCCUCCGCUCCCCUUGCUUGUGUCCUUGGCAAUGCCCUGCCCCAGUUUCUGCCCCAGAGCCGCUGGCCAGAAAUGGCUGAGGUUCGUAGCUGGAGGAAGUGGGCCUGGGCUGACGAGGUGGCACCACUUUGUCCUGGAACAUCCCGCCCCUUGGCCUGGGUUCCGCUUGGGAAACAGGCGAGGUUCGAAAGGUGAGUUUUUAGAAUUGUCCAAUGGCAAGCUGUGACAGUUGUGUGUACCCUGGAGCUCAUCCCACCGUGGAAAACUCUGGGAAUGUCUGUCUCCACAGUCCUCGGCAAGCGGCCCCAAUAGUGGCAUUGUUUCAAGCUUUUGGAAUAUUGUUUUUGGGAAAUAAAGUGACUCCUGCUCAUUUAGCUGUGCCAACUCACUUGUUUGUCUUAUUCUUUUUGCUCAGCAGGUGGCAUUUUUGUUCAGUGAUUUUAUUUGUAUCCGCCCGUGUUCAUCAACUAUGACAUAUUAAUCAUGCAAAUUAGGAUAUGAUUAAUGAAGGAAAAAUUAAUUCCGCCACUGCAUCUGGGUCUGCUGUGACAGCUUAGUGAAUGCCCUCAUUCUCUGAUGCCAUCAGCAACUUCUCCAGGGCCGCUGCCGAUUGAUAUAUUAAUGUUUAGGGUAAAGGUUAGGGACCGAAGCCCAGAGAGACUUUCCUCUCCAGGGCUGGUGUUACAAGCACAUAUUUGCCUGACAGUGCACAUUUUUGAGACAGCGUGUUGCUAAACCCCGUCCUCCUUCCCACUGUGUGAACAGUUUGUAGGAGGAGGGAGUUCGCUCUGUCUUUCGGUGUCUUCUAGACUGAAGCCCACUGUGUCCAGGGCAAGCUCCCCGACCAACUCUGACUCUUGCUGUUUCCAAGGUCCCAGCUUCUUGUUUUCCAGAUGCUAUUUGCAGACCACGCAGUGACCCAUUCGUCCUUGUACUGCUGGGUUAGGGUCUCCCUGACCUAGCUGGUCUCAGCAAGUGGCGUCCAUCGUGGGGACUCAAAUCCAGGUCGAAGGGUUGCCAGAACAAUGGUUGGAGUGGAAAACUAGCUGGAGGACACUCGAGUACUCUUAAAGCAAUCCCUGUGGCCAAAAUCAACAGCCGAUUUGGAUACCAUCAAGACACCUGAAACCUUAUCAUGAGCCAGAUGCAGAGGAAGAGAUUCCAGGAGGAUCCCGAGGACCCCCGGUUGCAGCCAUGUCAAGACUGACGCUGCGGAGGACCCCAACUGUCACGAGCAACACCCAUCGAACACAGCCACCCACCUGGGGACAGAACAGGAAGCUGUCACAGAUGGCGGAAGAAAACCUGAGGAAAGCGGGACAACCAGUCACAAUGAAUAAUUUAAUGAUAGCUCUGAUAGCGGUUAUCACCACCGCCUCUGCAGAUGUGGAUCCUGACUCCUGCAAGAAGUAGCUCACCGUGACAAAGCUGCCUUUGCUUUUAUCGAUUUGCAAAUCAGAGAAGGGGGACAUAUUGGGAGCAGGCCCCCCAAAAUCUGGCCAUAAACUGGCCCCAAAACUGGACUGGCCAUAAACUGGCCCCAAAACUGGACU
rnacentral:lncRNA from 1 species